GUAUGGCGCAGUGGUAGUGCGACAGCCUGCGACGCAGAAUGUUCCGGGUUCGAUUCCCGAUUUACA